CCUACGGGAGGCAGCAGUGGGGAAUAUUGCACAAUGGGGGAAACCCUGAUGCAGCGACGCCGCGUGAGUGAAGAAGUAAUUCGUUACGUAAAGCUCUAUCAGCAGGGAAGAAACACUGACCUUACGGUCAGCAGACGGUACCUGAGUAAGAAGCCCCGGCUAACCACGUGCCAGCAGCCGCGGUAAUACGUAGGGGGCAAGCGUUCUCCGGAUUUACUGGGUGUAAAGGGGGCGUAGACGGUGCGCCAAGUCUGGCGUGAAAUGCCGCAGCUUAACUGCGGAACUGCCUUGGAAACUGGCGAACUAGAGUGCGGGAGGGGUAAGCGGAAUUCCUAGUGUAGCGGUGAAAUGCGUAGAUAUUAGGAGGAACACCGGUGGCGAAGGCGGCUUACUGGACCGUAACUGACGUUGAGGCUCGAAAGCGUGGGGAGCAAACAGGAUUAGAUACCCCAGUAGUC
rnacentral:rRNA from 1 species